CUCAAAACUUAAAUUGGUCAAGUGACCUCUUAUUUUCUUUUUAAUUUCCUUUGGGUUGGAAAAUAGCUAAAUGAGUAGGUUAACGUGUUUGGCCUUUUAACAUUUUCAAAAUUUGUGGGUCAGCUAUUAGGUUUGGAAAAGUAGCUUUCUUUCUAAUUUUCAGCCAUUUUCUCUUUCAUCUCUCUCUCACUCAACCCCCUCGACCACGGUAGUUUCUGGUGGGAAGGUACAAGAAUCAAGCUUCGAUUUUGGGUGGAAUCGCCUCUAUAGACCCAACAAAGGGAUUCGUUCAUGUCCAUGUUCAUGAUCGAUUGUGUUGUGAAUGGAGAAGUUUUAUAUGGCGUGGGUUGUUAUAUUUGCUUUUUGAACUCCUCUGUGCUCUGUAUUUUAGAAUUUCGUCGUAAUUGACGACCUAUGGUCGAUUCUCUUCUGUUCAUAGAUGUUUGCUAGAAUUGAGGCUUAUUUUUCUUAUUCUGGUCAUAAGUUUCAAAUUAUUAAAUAUUACAUUGCAUAUUUGCAUGUUGGUAACGUGAGGAAGGAAUCAAUUGCUAAGAAGCAUACUCCUUCAGCAAUGAUAGCAAUUGCACAACCUUCAAAGUGAAAUUAGUGGAACAUAUGCAGUGACGGUCAUUGACUUCCUCCUAACUGAUACGCUGAUGGUCAGCUUAAUGACAUACGAAUGGAGUUGGUCAGGGAAAUAUUUACGGUGGAUAUCUUCAGGGGAAGGGUGGACUCUUCUUAGUUUUAUUAGUGUAAUUUAUAUUUGAGUUAUUCAUUUGACAAACUCAUUUUGGGUGAACUUGUAGUAAUUUGUGAUACUUGCAUCUGCCACUAUGUAAUGAAACUAUC